ACGCCCCACAUAACACCCAAAAGCCAUUAUAACUAAUCAAACAACUUUAACUACAAAAGAUUAACACCAAAGCACAUCCUCACAUCCCUCCUGACCCAAAGCUAACACCCAACAAAACAUGCCCCAACUAUAUCACACCCACGACCCACCACCCUCACAAUACCACUUCCAUAGUAUAUCACCUUCCCCAGAAACAAAAAGCAAAACUCACAUAUAACAAUACAUUCCACCUACACAUGAUAUCUGCAUAAUCAUUCCCAUAGCCAUGACAGCUCUAAACCAGCCUUUCCCACAACAUAACAGCUCUAUCACACCCUGAUUUAGCUAAGAAAUCCGCUUCUGUAUUUGCCUCACGAAAAAUAUGAAUCACACCCACACAUCCUACAUCUUCCAUCAGCAGAUCAAUCAUAUGCAAAUCAUUCAACAACUUCCAAGGCCUGUUCUGUUUAUUUCUCACCCAACCGACCGCGAGCAUUGAAUCACUCUCAAUCACAACAGAGGGAAAUCACAAUUGAGAUUUAAGAGUGCAUAUUCUUCAAACUCAAAAACGAGAUUCUCACUUCUUGCUUUAGCCUCUUUAUUCCAGGUAGACGAAGAUAAGAGCUUAUUUGAAGGUUGAUUCCUUUUAUGAUAAAUUUAUAAUGAAGAUAUUAGAUUGAGGUUUGAUAAUGGUGCGUCAAACACAUGCUAUGGAAGACAAGAUAGAAUAAGACAUACUUCUUUUGUUUCUUUUUAUCUGUCCACUUUAGGUGGUGGCACAUAGAUUAAGAGUGUAAUUAAUUUUGUUGAAUGUUAGAAAAGUAAAUUUAAUGAAAGAGACCAAUGGCAAUUAUAAUUUUUGGAGUA